rfam:Hordeum vulgare subsp. vulgare, WGS project CAJW01000000 data, contig: morex_contig_141243
AUCCUACUCCCUUCAUCUCAAAUUUUUUCUUAGAUUUGUCUAGAUAUGAAUGUAUCNAGUCACAUUUUAGUAUUUAGAUACAACCAUUUUUAGACAAAACUAAGACCAACAUUUUGGGAUGGAGGGAGUAUUAU